rnacentral:rRNA from 1 species
CAUUCAAAGAGUGCGUAAUAGCUCACUAGUCGAGUGACGCUGCGCCGAAAAUUUACCGGGGCUAAGCAUAGUACCGAAACUGUGGAUGUACGUAAGUACGUGGUAGGAGAGCGUUCUAAGUGCGGCGAAGGUUAACCGAGAGGAUAAUUGGAGCGCUUAGAAGUGAGAAUGCCGGUAUGAGUAGCGAAAGAUAGGUGAGAAUCCUAUCCGCCGAAAGACUAAGGUUUCCUGGGGCAGGCUCGUCCGCCCAGGGUAAGUCGGGACCUAAGGCAAGGCCGAGAGGCGUAGUCGAUGGAUAACAGGUAGAGAUUCCUGUACUGUGUUCAAUCGUUAAGAGCGAAGGAGGGACGCAGGAGGUGAAGCACGCAUCGCGAUGGAACGAUGUUCAAGCGACAAGUGCGGUUAAGAGUCAAAUGCUUCUAACCAGCAACACGAGUCGUGAUGAGGAGCGAAAUAAAAGUAGCGAAGGUGUGGUAGUCACACUGCCAAGAAAAGCUUCUAGCCAGAGAGAACAUGCCCGUACCGCAAACCGACACAGGUAGUCGAGUGGAGAACACUAAGGUGAGCGAGAGAACUCUCGUUAAGGAACUCGGCAAAAUGACCCCGUAACUUCGGAAGAAGGGGUGCUGGCCAUGAGAAUGGUUAGCCGCAGUGAAUAGGCCCAAACAACUGUUUAUCAAAAACACAGGUCUCUGCAAAAUCGUAAGAUGACGUAUAGAGGCUGACACCUGCCCGGUGCUGGAAGGUUAAGAGGAGAGCUUAGCGCAAGCGAAGGUUUGAAUUGAAGCCCCAGUAAACGGCGGCCGUAACUAUAACGGUCCUAAGGUAGCGAAAUUCCUUGUCGGGUAAGUUCCGACCUGCACGAAAGGUGUAAUGAUUUGGGCACUGUCUCAACGAGAGACUCGGUGAAAUUAUAAUACCCGUGAAGAUGCGGGUUACCCGCGACAGGACGGAAAGACCCCAUGGAGCUUCACUGUAGCUUGAUAUUGAGUAUCUUUUAAACAUGUACAGGAUAGGUAGGAGCCAAGGAAAGCAGGACGCUAGUUUUGCUGGAGGCAAUGUUGGGAUACUACCCUUGUUUGAAGGAUGCUCUAACCUCGACCUGUAAGCCAGGCCAGGGACAGUGUCAGGUGGGCAGUUUGACUGGGGCGGUCGCCUCCUAAAGUGUAACGGAGGCGCUCAAAGGUUCCCUCAGAAUGGUUGGAAAUCAUUCGCAGAGUGUAAAGGUAUAAGGGAGCUUGACUGCGAGAGAAACAGCUCGAGCAGGUAGGAAACUAGGACUUAGUGAUCUGGUGGUACCGCAUGGAAGGGCCAUCACUCAACGGAUAAAAGCUACCCUGGGGAUAACAGGCUUAUCUCCCCCAAGAGUUCACAUCGACGGGGAGGUUUGGCACCUCGAUGUCGGCUCGUCGCAUCCUGGGGCUGUAGUCGGUCCCAAGGGUUGGGCUGUUCGCCCAUUAAAGCGGCACGCGAGCUGGGUUCAGAACGUCGUGAGACAGUUCGGUCCCUAUCCGUCGUGGGCGUAGGAAAUUUGAGAGGAGCUGUCCUUAGUACGAGAGGACCGGGAUGGACGCACCGCUGGUGUACCAGUUGUUCCGCCAGGAGCAUCGCUGGGUAGCUAUGUGCGGAAGGGAUAAGCGCUGAAAGCAUCUAAGUGCGAAGCCCCCCUCAAGAUGAGAUUUCCUUUGCGCAAGCAGUAAGACACCUCAAAGACGAUGAGGUAGAUAGGCUGGGAGUGGAAGUUCUGUGAAGAAUGGAGCGGACCAGUACUAAUCAGUCGAGGACUUGACCAAA